GGAAUGCAGCAGCCGCAGGGGAUGGCGCCGGGCGCGA
rnacentral:SRP_RNA from 1 species